rnacentral:rRNA from 1 species
GAGGAAUAUUGGACAAUGGAGGCAACUCUGAUCCAGCCAUGCCGCGUGCAGGAAGACGGCCCUAUGGGUUGUAAACUGCUUUUAUACAGGAAGAAACGUUAGUACGUGUACUAGCCUGACGGUACUGUAAGAAUAAGGAUCGGCUAACUCCGUGCCAGCAGCCGCGGUAAUACGGAGGAUCCAAGCGUUAUCCGGAAUCAUUGGGUUUAAAGGGUCCGCAGGCGGUCUAAUAAGUCAGAGGUGAAAUCCUAUCGCUCAACGAUAGAACUGCCUUUGAUACUGUUAGACUUGAGUUAUUGUGAAGUAGUUAGAAUGUGUAGUGUAGCGGUGAAAUGCAUAGAUAUUACACAGAAUACCGAUUGCGAAGGCAGAUUACUAACAAUAUACUGACGCUCAUGGACGAAAGCGUGGGUAGCGAACAGG